rnacentral:rRNA from 1 species
AGAGUUUGAUCCUGGCUCAGGAUGAACGCUAGCUACAGGCUUAACACAUGCAAGUCGAGGGGAAACGACAUCGAAAGCUUGCUUUUGAUGGGCGUCGACCGGCGCACGGGUGAGUAACGCGUAUCCAACCUGCCCAUCACUUGGGGAUAACCUUGCGAAAGUAAGACUAAUACCCAAUGAUAUCUCUAGAAGACAUCUGAAAGAGAUUAAAGAUUUAUCGGUGAUGGAUGGGAAUGCGUCUGAUUAGCUUGUUGGCGGGGUAACGGCCCACAAGGCUACGAUCAGUAGGGGUUCUGGAGAGGAAGGUCCCCCACAGUUGGAACUGAGACACGGUCCAAACUCCGUACGGGAGGCA